rnacentral:lncRNA from 1 species
UGAAUAAGCAAUGUACAGUAGGAAUGUAUUAAGCCUAAUAUGUCUUCCUUUUUUAAGAUAACAUCGGAGAGGAUCAGAAGGUGGACACCACUGGAAAAACAGGAAUUUAAAGGACAGGCUUGCUGCAUGGUUUUUGUAGUCUGGCUGAAUGCUUAAGUUUUCCUGGGUUGUCAUCCUUGUAGUGUGGCGCUUUCGAAAGAGCUCCUGCC